GACGAACGCUGGCGGUGUGCCUAACACAUGCAAGUCGAACGGUAAGGCCCUUUCGGGGGUACACGUGUGGCGAACGGGUGAGUAACACGUGAGUAACCUGCCCUCAUCUCUGGGAUAACAGUCGGAAACGGUUGCUAAUACUGGAUAUGAGCUUGCAAGGCAUCUUGUGGGUUGGAAAGAUUUUUUUGGUUGGGGAUGGACUCGCGGCCUAUCAGCUUGUUGGUGAGGUAGUGGCUCACCAAGGCUUCGACGGGUAGCCGGCCUGAGAGGGCGACCGGCCACAUUGGGACUGAGAUACGGCCCAAACUCCUACGGGAGGCAGCAGUGGGGAAUAUUGCACAAUGGACGGAAGUCUGAUGCAGCAACGCCGCGUGCGGGAGGACGGCCUUCGGGUUGUAAACCGCUUUCAAUUGUGACGAAGCUUUUUGUGACGGUAGCAGUAGAAGAAGCACCGGCUAACUACGUG
rnacentral:rRNA from 1 species